rnacentral:rRNA from 1 species
UAAAAAGUAUAACCUGCCCACUGAUUAAUAUUUAAAGGGCCGCGGUAUUUUGACCGUGCAAAGGUAGCAUAAUCAUUAGUUUUUUAAUUGAAGACUGGAAUGAAUGGUUGAAUGAGAUAUAUGUUGUGUCAUAAAAUUUAAAUUUAAAAUUUAUAUUUUAGUUAAAAAGCUAAAAUGAUUUUUAAAGACGAGAAGACCCUAUAAAUCUUUAUAUUUAAAUUAAUUUAAUUUAUAUAGAAUAUAAAUUUAUUAAAUUAAAUUUAGUUUAAAUAUUUUAUUGGGGUGAUAUUAAAAUUUAUUUAACUUUUAAAUUAUUUAUUCAAAUUUAUUUGUAAUAAAAUUGAUCCAAUAUUAUUGAUUAAAAAUUUAAGUUACUUUAGGGAUAACAGCGUAAUUUUUUUGGAGAGUUCAAAUCGAUAAAAAAGAUUGCGACCUCGAUGUUGGACUAAGAUUUAAUUUAGGUGCAGAAGCUUAAAUUUAGAGUCUGUUCGACUUUUAUAUCUUACGUGAUCUGAUCAAAACCGGGGAAAGGUUUGGCUUGUUUAAUCGAUAACCUGCCUGGGAAAUUAGGGCGGAAGGACAGUGGAAAAAA